rnacentral:lncRNA from 1 species
CCAAAUCCCAAUCACAAUCGAGGGUCACCAAAGCUGGAGAAGGAAUCUUGUUUAGUCCCGGCAUCGGCAACAACGAGUCACCAUCCACUGGCAUUGAAGCUCUUACGAUCCGUCAAUUGUAGUGAGGUAAGAGAGCCCUCAUCCUCUGAUCUCUCAUCUUAAUAGACUUUGAAGGAGGUAACAGUUGGGUUAAACGGGAAUAAUUCUUCUUCUUUUUCUUUAAUCUUCAUAGCGGACAAGAUUGAUGGUUUGAAAUUGGGAUUUGAGAACCUCAUAAUCGGACUUGUUGUACCACGCACCGUCGCUCACGGCAUUAUCCACCUGUGGCCUUGCCCUUUAAAGCAUUGCACAGUCACCAACGCCUUUCACACCCACAACCAUUCACUCACGCCAAGACCACCAUAGUUAGCCAACAUGGCUGCCAUCUUCAUCCUUUCAUCCUUCAUUUCUUGCUGUUGAAUAAGAAACCAAAUGUAGGGAAACACAAAAAAACAAGAAAAUAAAACACGAAGAACAACUCUUCCUUGAACAGUG